rnacentral:misc_RNA from 1 species
UGUUUUUCUUCUAAAUACAUGCAAAUAUUGUUAAUUUUCUGUUGUUUGUUUCGAACAAACCUUUUUUUUUAUUGAAAAGGAAUCCAAUGAAGCAAUAAUUUGCAAUCUUAAAAGUUUUGGCAUAACAAAGAUCAUCUCCUUUUAACAGAUUAUCCUAGUCUUUCCCAAGUACCUAAACUGCAGAUUCAUGAUAGACUACUGUUUUUUGAAUUUAUAACCAAUCCUUGACCUCCAAGAAAAAGAAAUACGUGCCAAUGUAAUCACCAUAUUUUUGGUAUUGAAAUCCAUCAUGAUCGUGCAAAGAUAUCUAGAGGAGAGUAAAACAAGGUUUACAAUGGAAAAGUACAGAUUUGUUUGGAAAAACUGUGGUUCCUGUGCAAAAUUGACAGUAUAGAUGAGGCAGCAAAAAAAAAGAACUUAGAGAGAGAAUGAAAAGAAAUCACUUUUCAGAUCUAGUAAAAUUUGGGGAAGGAGCAUAUCUUAUUUUGUAGAUUCAAUACGAGACAAUAAGGAGGAAGUGUCAAGUGAGAUAAAAUGGAAGAUUAAUGGGGAGAAAUGUAGAAUUUAGAAGGCACAAACUUUGAAGUAUGCAUUUCUAAAAGUUAAACCAAACUGAAUUUGCUAAAAUACCAAACCAAAAAACUGAAAUGCAUCAAUAUAAUAUGGAUUUGUAAUUUGACUUAAACUGAAUAAUAUUCAUCCUUAUUCGACUCAGAAAAUUGAUCACUGUGUUUCUUUUAUUCUCUUGGGUGCCAUUUAUCAUGUUUUUGGUGUUUCGUAGUCGUAUCAUUUACACCAAUUAUAGAUAUGGAAUUGUAGGUGAGAGAGGUUGAUGUAUGCACCUCACUGGUAAACACAUGGUAACAUUUUUUGAGAUGGAUCAACGUACCUAUAGCUAAAGGACGUUGCAAUAUAACUGAGUAGGCCUUAUUGGAGAUACUUGAUAGAUCAAAGGCCAUACUUUUAUGGGAUGAGCAUGUUGUUACAACUAUUGGCUCAAAUUACUCUACUAAUGCAUUCAGUUGACUUCUGUUCAUAGACGGUGCUUUUUUCUUCCCAUCAUGUAAAUCCAUUGGACUAUAUUUGAGUGAGCAUUUUGAUACAUUUUGCAGGCUAAAGCCGGUUCAGGUUCUGCAACGCUAUCUAUGGCAUAUGCAGCUGUUAAAUUU